UUAAUAUUAGAAAUUAGGAAAAACUUCAAAAACCCACCAUGGUUUCGUAGUUUCUCACUUUGCCCCCCUGUGGUUUAAAAUGUAUCAAAUUGGCCCCCGUGGUUUCGCUUUUAUCUUUUCGGUAGCUUUUUCGUUAAUAUUUUAUUAAAUUAUAUACAAAAAUCUUUAGAUACCUAUCUAGAUUUAUCAAAUAUUCAUUUUAGUAUUCUUUAAUUUUAACUUUAUCACUGAUUUAAGAAAAAAUAAUAAUAAAAUUGAUAAGAAAAAGAGAAAAAGAAACCACAGGGGGGCUAAUUAAUAUAUUUUAAAUCACAGGGGGGCAAAGUGAGAAACUACAAAACUACAUGGGGAUUUUUGAUGUUUUUUCUAGAAAUUAUAAUAGGCAAACUUUAUCAGAUACUAUUCUUAGUCGGAGUUACUAAUUUAUAGUAGUUUUGAUCGCAUGUCUUAUUCACAAUAUUAUAAAAUUUUGAAAUGCGAAAAAUAUGUAUGUUCCUUUCUCUUUUCUGCUUCGGAAAUUAAGUAUGAGAAAUAGAUAAAAGAAUAAGCUUGUCUCCGGUUUUGUUGCUUUUCUCAUACGUUGGAAUAAAAAAAUAAGGCUAAAUUACAGAAAACCUCCCUGUAAUAACCCGCUUUUUCACUUUCCCCCCCUGACAUUUAAAAACCUACACUUUGCCCCCUUGUAAAAUAAAAAAUGUUCAUAGAAGGGUUACGGUGUGUAAAAUGACCAUUUUGCCCCUCACCAUUGUUGUCUUCUUCCUGAGCUUCCUCAGCCGCCCCUUCGAUCCGCCGCUAUUUCCACCUCAAUCGGCCACGAUUCCUCUCCAAUUUCUUCUCCACCUGCUCCCCUUCUCCUCCUACACCGUCGUCGCCCAUCGAUUUCGGCGACAGUAGGGAAGAUACUAAGAUGGGUGUUGAUGGAGAGGUAGGCAGGGACAACGAGGGCGAAGGCGAGGCGGCGGAGGAGGACGAAGCAGUUGUGGGCGAGGGCGAAGCAGUGGAGGAUGGCGAGGCGGCGAGCCGGAAGGAGCGAAGCAUCAGAGAAGAGGCAGAGAGGUAUUUUCGGUAUAAAAAAAUAUUUUUUAAUAGAACCCCUGACGGAACCCUAACGGUAGGGAUGAAGUGCACAUUUUUCAUUUUACAAGGGGGCAAAGUGUAGGUUUUUAAAUGUCAGGGAGGGAAAGUGAAAAAACGGGUUAUUACAGGGAGGUUUUCUGUAAUUUAGCCAAAAAAUAAAUUAUUUUUUGUUUUGAAACUUUAUAAG
rnacentral:lncRNA from 1 species